rnacentral:tRNA from 1 species
GCGCCUGUAGCUCAGAGGGAUAGAGCAACGGACUUCUAAUUCGUAGGUCGCAGGUUCGAAUCCUGCCAGGCGCGCCA